rnacentral:rRNA from 1 species
UGGGGAAUAUUGCGCAAUGGGGGCAACCCUGACGCAGCAACGCCGCGUGCGGGAUGAAGGCUUUCGGGUUGUAAACCGCUUUCAGCAGGGAUGACAUCGACAGUACCUGCAGAAGAAGCCCCGGCUAACUACGUGCC